rnacentral:rRNA from 1 species
UACGUAGGGGGCAAGCGUUGUCCGGAAUCACUGGGCGUAAAGGGCGCGUAGGUGGCCCGCCAAGUCACUGGUGAAAGCUCGAUGCUUAACAUCGAGUCGGCCAGUGAUACUGGUGGGCUGGAGCACUGUAGAGGCUCAUGGAAUUCCGGGUGUAGCGGUGGAAUGCGUAGAGAUCGGAAAGAACACCAACGGCGAAAGCACUCUGCUGGGCCGACACUGACACUGAGAGACGAAAGCUAGGGGAGCGAAUGGG